rnacentral:lncRNA from 1 species
ACUAUUGAAAACUUGAAAGCUACACUCAUGGCUACACUCAUACAAAGAAUAGGCAUAAUUUAAAAACACACUCUAGAGAUGUAAAGCUCCCCAUUGAUUUAUUGGGACCUUUGGUUUUCUAUGCGAAAUACAUUUUUCACUAUCAAGUGUUAGAUGCAUCAUGUUGAUAAAAUAAAAACACAAUUUAAAAACAGGGAUUUGGAGGUGUUCACUCAUAGGCUUUGGAUAUCGAAAUUUGGAGAAUUAGAAUGUUAAUUCUUAAGAUAGACCAUGUGAUCAUUUAGUAAAUUUAAGGCAUGAAUUUAGAGUCAGGGACUACAAUAUUUAAUGUGCAGCAAGGGACAUGGGAUUAAUCCUUUAUCUUCUUUUUUUCCCCUUAAGUUGGUCUUUUAUAUUCCCCUCUAAAGAGGAACCAUUUUCUAAUGUAUUUAUCGUUACCUCAAAAUUUGUACUUUUGGUUGCUAUCUCCUGCAAAACAAUAUCAAUGGCAUUAACAACAAAACCUCACAAUCUAGUCAGCAAUUUUGUGAUAAAAUAUAUAAAUACUUUG